AAAUCUUUUCCUCACAUGAGGAAAAGCUGAAAGAUGGUUUCGGCUAUCACUUACAGAUGGGCCCGCGGCGCAUUAGCUAGUUGGUGAGGUAACGGCUCACCAAGGCCACGAUGCGUAGCCGACCUGAGAGGGUGAUCGGCCACACUGGGACUGAGACACGGCCCAGACUCCUACGGGAGGCAGCAGUAGGGAAUCUUCCGCAAUGGACGAAAGUCUGACGGAGCAACGCCGCGUGAGUGAUGAAGGUUUUCGGAUCGUAAAACUCUGUUGUCAGGGAAGAACAAGUACCGGAGUAACUGCCGGUACCUG
rnacentral:rRNA from 1 species